UAGUCCCUGCCGUGUUCGUGACUCGGCCAAUAUUCCUUGAACCAAUGCUAUGGCAUUAGGUUGCCGGAUUGACAAGUGGGCGUGCUCUCCUUAACUGGAGAACCCGAAGCUUGGCUGAUGGCGACCACCUUGAACCUCAGGUUCCGGGAUGCCGGCCUUGACGGCACAGGCGGGGCAAUA
rnacentral:other from 1 species